AUUGAACGCUGGCGGCAUGAUUUACACAUGCAAGUCGAACGGUAACAGGCCGCAAGGUGCUGACGAGUGGCGAACGGGUGAGUAAUGCAUCGGAACGUGCCCAGUCGUGGGGGAUAACUACUCGAAAGAGUAGCUAAUACCGCAUACGAUCUAUGGAUGAAAGCGGGGGACCGUAAGGCCUCGCGCGAUUGGAGCGGCCGAUGUCAGAUUAGGUAGUUGGUGGGGUAAAGGCUCACCAAGCCAACGAUCUGUAGCUGGUCUGAGAGGACGACCAGCCACAUGGGGACUGAGACACGGCCCAGACUCCGGCGGGAGGGAGCGGGGGGGAAUGUGGGACAAGGGGCGCAAGCCUGACCCAGCAAUGCCGCGAGAAGAAAGGAGGCUUUGGGGUUGUAAACUGCUUUGGCACGAAACAAAACGGUUUUGGUAAAUCCCCGGGGAAAAUGACGGAACGGAAAGAAAAAGCCCCGGCUAACUCCGCC
rnacentral:rRNA from 1 species